rnacentral:misc_RNA from 1 species
UUUCCGUAGGUGAACCUGCGGAAGGAUCAUUACUGAGUGAGGGCCCUCUGGGUCCAACCUCCCACCCGUGUUUAUUGUACCUUGUUGCUUCGGUGCGCCCGCCUCACGGCCGCCGGGGGGCUUCUGCCCCCGGGUCCGCGCGCACCGGAGACACUAUUGAACUCUGUCUGAAGAUUGCAGUCUGAGCAUAAACUAAAUAAGUUAAAACUUUCAACAACGGAUCUCUUGGUUCCG